rnacentral:rRNA from 1 species
CCUAACGGGUGGCAGCAGUGGGGAAUAUUGGACAAUGGGCGAAAGCCUGAUCCAGCCAUGCCGCGUGUGUGAAGAAGGCCUUCGGGUUGUAAAGCACUUUCAGUGGGGAAGAAAGCCUUGGGGCUAAUACCCUCGAGGAAGGACAUCACCCACAGAAGAAGCACCGGCUAACUCCGUGCCAGCAGCCGCGGUAAUACGGAGGGUGCGAGCGUUAAUCGGAAUUACUGGGCGUAAAGCGCGCGUAGGCGGUCUGAUAAGCCGGUUGUGAAAGCCCCGGGCUCAACCUGGGAACGGCAUCCGGAACUGUCAGGCUAGAGUGCAGGAGAGGAAGGUAGAAUUCCCGGUGUAGCGGUGAAAUGCGUAGAGAUCGGGAGGAAUACCAGUGGCGAAGGCGGCCUUCUGGACUGACACUGACGCUGAGGUGCGAAAGCGUGGGUAGCAAACAGGAUUAGAUACCCGGUAGUC